ACCCACACCCAUUUACCGCCUAAACCAUAAAACCCAAAAAUUUUUUUUUUUUUUUAAAAAGUAGCCAGCAUGUAUAAGUAUAAACGCAUCAAGCGUGAAACUGCGUACGGCUCAUUACAACAGCAGUAAUUUACUUGAUCUUGACAACCUACAUGGAUAACUGCGGUAAUUCUGGAGCUAAUACAUGCACCAAAGCUUCGACCCGCGAGGGAAGAGCGCAUUUAUUAGAACAAAACCAAACGGCUUCGGCUGUCAAUUGUUGACUCAGAAUAACUAAGCUGAUCGCAUGGUCUUGUACCGGCGACGUGUCUUUCAAGCUUCUGCCUUAUCAACUUUCGAUGGUAGUGUAUGUGCCUACCAUGGUGGUUACGGGUAACGGAGGAUCAGGGUUCGACUCCGGAGAAGGGGCCUGAGAAAUGGCCACUACGUCUAAGGAUGGCAGCAGGCGCGCAAAUUACCCACUCUCGAUUUGAGGAGGUAGUGACGAGAAAUAACGAGACUGAUCUCUUAUGAGGCCAGUCAUCGGAAUGGGUACAAUUUAAACCCUUUAACGAGUAUCUAUGAGAGGGCAAGUCUGGUGCCAGCAGCCGCGGUAAUUCCAGCUCUCAAAAUGCAUAGAACCAUUGCUGCGGUUAAAAAGCUCGUAGUUGGAUCUGUGCCGGCUCCCCGGUCCAUCGCAAGAUGCGCACUGGCGGCAGCCGGCUUUCCUGUGGCUCACAGCCCGGCGGCCCUCACGGACAGCCGGUGCCUGGGGCUACAACUUUACUUUGAACAAAUCAGAGUGCUCAAAACAGGCGUUUCGCUUGAAUGUUCGUGCAUGGAAUAAUAGAAGAGGAUUUCGGUUCAAUUUUAUUGGUUUUAUUGACUGAGAUAAUGGUUAACAGAGACAAACGGGGGCAUUAGUAUUGCCACGUGAGAGGUGAAAUUCUUGGACC
rnacentral:rRNA from 1 species